rnacentral:tmRNA from 1 species
GGGGUUGACUGGUUUCGACAGCAAGAUCGAUGGGUAAGUAAGCAUGCAGAGAACCGUAGCGCGAUCUCUUAAAUCCCUUGCUACACAACUUUAACUGGCGACCAAGAGUUUGCUCUUGCAGCAUAAUCCGAAUAAAGUAGGAUUUUGCGUUUUCCCGAAGUAUAGUACGGAAGCGAGAUGUUUCCCAAUUGCUCCGUUUCGCGGCGAUUGAUUAGGAAAUAUAGGAAUGCGGAAAUAAGGCUUGAAAAACUUUGGUUCAAGUUCGAAAACUUCAGAAGAUAAGUUAUAAGUUGGGUGUUUGUGCUCUGUUUAUAAUCGAAAAUUAAUUGCAAAAUAAGCAUGUAGAAAUCUUAUGUAUUGCUUGUUUGGACGAGGGUUCGAAUCCCUCCAACUCCACAA